CCUUGAUAUCCUCUACCACCUUGAACAAGUUGUGGUACUUGAACAUGCUCAACCUUCAAGAAAUAGAAGCAUUGGUGUUAUUUCAAAUGACAUCACGACUGCCUUAGAUUAAAACUUGAAGGAGGUGACAUUCCCCAGAAAAGUUGUUCACCAUACCAUCCCAUGUUGGGUUGCCCACCAGUCCAGAUCAACAGUUUGUUGAGGAAAAGCUUGGAAUUCAGUUGAUGCCUAUUCUUGCUGUGAAGAGGAGCAAUCUGAACUAGCAGCCACAUAUUACCUCGAGAGGUUAACCAGAAUGCAAAUCAACAGAAUAUGAUGCUGACCAAGUACCAGGAAGAGGUGUCCCCAUCACUGUAGAUGACAAGUGAUGACAGUUAUCUUGAUGGACUACAGGAAUAAUUCAAGUGCAGUUUACUGAUUUGUAUGAUGUAUUUUGAUAAUUGUUUUGGCAUUCUGAUGUCAGCUGAGUAACACCUCCAUAAUGGAGACAAAUUAAGGAACUUCUGUUUUGAAGCAGUAAAAUAGUCUCAGCAAUAAUUUCUAUUUAUUUUGCCAGCAGAACAGAAGUUUCCAUUAAUUUUCCCACACAAACAUUUUGUGCUUUCCUGUUCCCCAUUUGUACUUAUUGUCCUGCUGAACAAUUGGACCACCUUUUCAGUGACAUUUUUUUUACACUGCAUGACGAUGUGAUUUAGAAGUGUGAUUUGAUAUAGUUUGAUGGUUUGAUAUUAGUAUAUGUGGCAUGUAGUAAACAAUGGAAUAGUAAAGUUAUGCCAUAUUUCUUGUAUUUCAUGAUACUGGCUGUUAUAUUACUUUUGUGAUAGUUAGUAUUUAAUUAAGGCUUUACUAAGUCUCUGCAUGUCUGCCAUGGAAGGCAUGUAAAACUGUUGCCCUUUUCCAGAACGAAGAAAGUUUUAUAUGUGUAAUUCAUGAUAUGUGAAUAAUGUCUUACAUGUGAUGUUACAUCUAACUAUUUAAUGUGUAUGCUGUUAGUCUUAGAAAAAAGAAAAUUACCCCAUCUUGAAA